rnacentral:rRNA from 1 species
CCUACGGGAUGCAGCAGUGGGGAAUAUUGCACAAUGGGCGCAAGCCUGAUGCAGCCAUGCCGCGUGUAUGAAGAAGGCCUUCGGGUUGUAAAGUACUUUCAGCGGGGAGGAAGGUGUUGAGGUUAAUAACCUCAGCAAUUGACAUUACCCGCAGAAGAAGCACCGGCUAACUCCGUGCCAGCAGCCGCGGUAAUACGGAGGGUGCAAGCGUUAAUCGGAAUUACUGGGCGUAAAGCGCACGCAGGCGGUCUGUCAAGUCGGAUGUGAAAUCCCCGGGCUCAACCUGGGAACUGCAUUCGAAACUGGCAGGCUAGAGUCUUGUAGAGGGGGGUAGAAUUCCAGGUGUAGCGGUGAAAUGCGUAGAGAUCUGGAGGAAUACCGGUGGCGAAGGCGGCCCCCUGGACAAAGACUGACGCUCAGGUGCGAAAGCGUGGGGAGCAAACAGGAUUAGAUACCCUAGUAGUC